rfam:Picea glauca, whole genome shotgun sequence.
GUAUGUGCCUACAACAUAGUGUUAAUGCACUAGAUCUCAUUAUAACUCCACAGUUAAGCGCGCUAAGGAUAGAGUAGUACUAGGAUUGGAGACCACCCCGGAAGUCCUAAUGUUUUACAUGCC